GAUGAACGCUGGCGGCGUGCCUAAUACAUGCAAGUCGAGCGAACAGACGAGGAGCUUGCUCCUCUGACGUUAGCGGCGGACGGGUGAGUAACACGUGGAUAACCUACCUAUAAGACUGGGAUAACUUCGGGAAACCGGAGCUAAUACCGGAUAAUAUAUUGAACCGCAUGGUUCAAUAGUGAAAGACGGUUUUGCUGUCACUUAUAGAUGGAUCCGCGCCGCAUUAGCUAGUUGGUAAGGUAACGGCCUACCAAGGCAACGCUGCGUAGACGACCUGAGAGGGUGAUCGGCCACACUGGAACUGAGACACGGUCCAGACUCCUACGGGAGGCAGCAGUAGGGAAUCUUCCGCAAUGGGCGAAAGCUUGACGGAGCAACGCCGCGUGAGUGAUGAAGGUCUUCGGAUCGUAAAACUCUGUUAUUAGGGAAGAACAAAUGUGUAAGUAACUAUGCACGUCUUGACGGUACCUAAUCAGAAAGCCACGGCUAACUACGUG
rnacentral:rRNA from 1 species